CAAUAGCGUAUAUUAAAGUUGUUGCAGUUAAAAAGCUCGUAGUUGGAUUUGUGGCGUACGGUGUGUUCCGGGCACUUGUUGCCUGAGUAACCUGCUGUUGCCAUCCUUGGGUGGAACCUGUGUGGCAUUAGGUUGUCGUGCAGGGGAUGCCCAUCAUUUACUGUGAAAAAAUUAGAGUGUUCAAAGCAGGCUCAUGCCGUUGAAUAUAUUAGCAUGGAAUAAUGAGAUAGGACUUUUUUGCUAUUUUGUUGGUUUGCGCAAAGAGGUAAUGAUUAAUAGGGACAGUUGGGGGUAUUCGUAUUCCAUUGUCAGAGGUGAAAUUCUUGGAUUUUUGGAAGACGAACUACUGCGAAAGCAUUUACCAAGGAUGUUUUCAUUAA
rnacentral:rRNA from 1 species